UACGGAGGAUGCAAGCGUUAUCCGGAAUGAUUGGGCGUAAAGCGUCCGCAGGUGGCUGUGUAAGUCUGCUGUCAAAGAGCGAAGCUCAACUUCGUAAAGGCGGUGGAAACUGAAGCGCUAGAGUGCGGUAGGGGUAGAGGGAAUUCCCGGUGUAGCGGUGAAAUGCGUAGAGAUCGGGAAGAACAUCGGUGGCGAAAGCGCCCUACUGGACCGCAACUGACACUCAGGGACGAAAGCUAGGGGAGCGAAUGGG
rnacentral:rRNA from 1 species